rnacentral:rRNA from 1 species
CGCCUGGUUAACAAAAACAUGUCUUUUUGAUGAUAAUUUGAAGUCUGACCUGCUCACUGAAUAAUAGUUUAAAUAGCCGCGGUAUUUUGACCGGCAAAGGUAGCAUAAUCAUUAGUUCUUUAAUUGAGGGCUGGAAUGAAUGGUUUGACGAGAGGGGGACUGUCUCAAUUUUAAUUAAUAAAAUUUAACUUUUAAGUCAAAAGGCUUAAAUUUAACUUUAGGACGAUAAGACCCUAUAGAGCUUUAUAAGUUAAUUAAAGUCAUUUUUUUGUUCAUUUAUUUUGUUUGUUAAUUAAUUUAUUUUGUUGGGGUGACAUGAAGAAUAAUUAAACUUUUUAUUUUAAUGUCAUUUAUUUAUGAAAGGUUGAUCCAUAAUUUGUGAUUAAAAGAUUAAGUUACCUUAGGGAUAACAGCGUAAUUGUUUUUUAGAGUUCAUAUCAACAAAGCAGAUUGCGACCUCGAUGUUGGAUUAAGAAAAGUUUUAGAUGUAUCUAGUUUAGAAACUGGGUCUGUUCGGCCUUUUAAAUC